UAUGCGACAUUCUCUCACGCGAUUGAGGCGACACUCUGUGGAUCGUAAUAGAUCAGUUGGUAAUUUCUUAUUAAUAAUCGCUUCGAUUUUUUUUCUGGAGCGGAAAAGUGAACUGCGUCUCGUUGAAAAUUGGCUGUAAUCAUUGCAUUUUUCGUGGAUACACUUCGAGAAUUGUCUCUGUGAAAUUUCUGUGGUUUUAUAUGUUGGAGAUGAUUGAUUGGAAAGCAGUAUUGCGAAUAAAGAUGGAAUCAAGAAAAUAGAGAAGAAGAUAACAGAGAAAGUUUACGAGAUAGAAGUCGAAGUCAGGUUGUGAACAGAUGGCAAUUUGUAUUAGAUGGAAAAAAUGAGGAAGGGCUGGAUCAAAGUCCUUGCGGUUGGUAUGUGUAAAAUACCAAGCGUAGCUGCACGCACGGCCCGGAAUGUCAGGGCACGGAAUUUCUCGACGAUUUCCCUCAACUGUUCUCGUAAUAUCCUCAUGCUAGAAAAUUUAUAUACAUUUCUUAAAUCAUAGAAUCACUCUCGCGUCGAUUUAUCUAACCUUCCACCAUCUUGCAGGUCAGGUUUCAGAAGAAACAGAUGUCUGAACGAAAGCGAGCAAGUGGCUAAUUGACUAACGAGCUAUUCGUGGCUCGUACAACAUUAGCCGUCAUAGUCAGAAAAUAUUGAGAGAUUGAGAGGAGAGAAAAAACAAGCAAAGCAACCGAUACGAAUAGGAGAAAGACAAAGAAGAAAAAGAAGAAGAUCGUCUGAAGAAAAGAGAAUCGCGAAGAUGGGCGAUCCUGUUUGAGUAGUGGACUGCUGGGCCAGCGGUGGUUCUAUUGCUUUUAAUGUAAUCGAGCCGGGCGUCCUUUAUCAUCGCGAGAAAAAAUGGCCAUUUAAUCACAGCGUUUCCCGACGUGGGGUCUGUGCGCACCCCUCUGGCGCGCCGCCUCGAGAAUCAUUCCGAUAUUAAUAGCGGAUGGUUUGACCGCGUAAUAUGAGGAAUCGUUGGCGCGCGCGUAUAAUAUCACUCGAUCGUGCCAAGUGGCUCGAGGAACACGCAUGUUACACGGCCGAGAAUGACAAAUUAAUCGUCUGUUUGGUUGGCCCUGCUCAACGCAUCGAAUCCUAUAAUACGGCUGAGAAAUGACAUUCAAUGGAAGGAACAUUUUGUUCGAUCAUGAUCUAUACGAAUCGUACUAUACGGAAAGAAAUUAGUUUACAAUUGAGAAUUUUAGACAGCAGUACCACAUAUCUAACUAGGAAUCUCAUCAACUGAUCACCUGCAAUCACAUUUCCAAAUAGAACAUCACGGUCGGAUGGCGCUGCAGUCGAGGAGGAUUGCGGCUGCUCGAGCCCGUUACAAAGUCGGCAAUUAUCGAGGAGGAGUGGCCCCAGUCGACCUCUUUGAAAACGCGCGUUACUCGAUGUCCUCUCCUCCGUCACGAUGGAUGCACUCGCGGUAUGCCGUUGAUGUCACGUGGACUGGGCAGCGUCGGGUCCCGUAGGUUAAUUUCACCGCGAUAAGAUCGUAUGAGCGGAUUACGCGGCGGAACACGAUCGAACACCUGUAACGAACAUGAUUUUCUUAUGAACGGUGGAACGGUCCGCGUCCGGUUUUCCCUCUAUUCGAGAGUUACUCGAUACGCCCAAUAUUUUCUCGAUAUCCAUAUGAGCAUUGGUAGAUGGAGAGGCGGAGAAGAGGAACUCACCAGGACAUGUGCGCGAUUUUUUCAACGCGCGAUGGGGAUUUCAGAUUAUACGAUCGGGGUUAAUGACUGAGGUGUAGCCGAGCGGUCUAGGAAUACCGCUCCGAGUUUUCUUAUCGAUUACAUCUUGAUUAGGGAAAGCAAUGGACCGUAUGAAACUGUUGCACGAGCAUUGGAAAUUCAUAAUAUGCCUUGAUAUGCUUGAGCUGGAAACGAUUUAAAUCGUGGAAUUUAUGGAAUUGAUGGUAUUUCAAUCGACGUUUGUAUGAUUAUAUCUUUAUUGCAUUUAUAAUACUAUUGAUUUAUUUUUAUAACAUAAAAAUGUC